ensembl:lncRNA
GAAGCCUCUUGGAUGAGAGGUGAAACGUCUUCAAGAAACCUUCUUAAAUUCCAGUUGGAUUGAUUUAAACAACUUUGGAUAACCAUGACCUGGAUGAAUGAGAAACUACACACACGUAAUCAUUCUAAUGUGAAGCUCCAUGAUCUCCGAUGUGUUUAUUCAACUUUACGGUCCAGAAUUUGUCUUGAGUACGAUGAAAAAGUUGUAAAAUAUCUGGAUUUUGGAGAAGAAGCAUUGUAGUUAAGCUAGUUUAACACGUGCUAGCUGUGUGACGUACAGAUUUUUGUAAGAAAAUAUGGAAUAAAACUGACUUCACAUCCACAGACCGACCUGCUGACUUGCCACAGAAAUGCUCCAUGUGCGUUUACGGUAAAACAAGUUGGUAAAAACUGCUAAAAUUAGCCUAUCUCCAUCCAUUUAUACAGAAAUGCAUUCCAUUAGGUUGAACAAAAAGUUGUCGCCUGUACUUUUGCUAUUUUUGCAUAAUAUAUGAACACUAAACAAAACUGUGGAAAUAAGGCAUUAGAUUAUUUAGUUCUAGUGGUUUCACAGUCCAACCAUUUCUAUUUUAAAGCAUUUAGGACUGCUGCUACUAGAUUGUCGUUCCCGAUUAGAUAUUUUAUGACUUUAAAGAUAUUUUCAAAGUUUGUCUUCCAGAUACUGGUUUUGUUCAACAAAACAUGCAAAACCCAAAGAUGUUCAACUUUCAGUGAUGUAGUGAAAAACAUAAAACUUCUUAUAUUUAAGAAGCUGGAACAAAUGAAUGUUUGGCCUUUUUGCUUGAUGAAGUUGGUAGUAGUUUGAGCACUAAUACUCUGCUUAUCGUUUUAAUCUGAAAUGUGCACUCAGACAGGAUUCAUUCAUGUGGAGGUAAUAAACCUCUGACAGUGGCAUGAAAUUAAGAUUUCUCAUCUUAUUUGAAUAUUUAUGCAGGGCAUUUUUACCUCAAGUAUGAGAAAAAUCCACCAAAAGUCUUUUAUUAAAUCACUAAUCUCCAUAUAAACUGUGCAUAUCCUAAUGGCCGCUGUGCAAAACUACAAACUAGUAACUGAGCUUUGAGAUGCAGCAGCAAAUAUGAUCAAACCUGCAGUGAGUUCUUGUACAGUGUUUUACUGAAUGCUACUGUGAGCGUGGUGCUGUUUACCACCCAACAAAAACCAGACGUGUUCUCCACAUUCUUCUUUAAAACAAAAAAAAAAAGUCAUCAUCACAUGUGUACUGUGGAAACGUUGGACCCAACAACCAUGUAAAGAUAUUUCAUCUUUUUUUUUUUUUUUUUUUUUAUCAGAAGAAAAACAAACCACAGCAGGUACACGGUGUGUUAACAGGAUAUUAACAUGUAAAUCUGUGUUUUUACCAUAUUGUAACCAAUGGCAGUACUUCUUUUUCCAUAUUGUGCACAUCUUUUUACUUUGAAUGUUGUCCGACACUUUGUGAACAAAAUGCUUUUUUUCUUCUUCUUCUUUCAAAGUAUUGUUCUAAUAAAAU